rnacentral:lncRNA from 1 species
AUUCUUGAUGUCUCUGCAAGACUGUUUUGGGGGUGAAAUUAACAGGCAAGUUGGUGAGCUUUGGUGAAGCAAACAACCUUACAUGAUGUGAGUGGUCCUUGUGCCCAGUUGAAGCCAUGCACUGUGCACUGGAGAGGCAGAGCAUCCUGCCUUCCACAGCCGUGCACACCAGUCCCUGUGCACAAGUGGCCACCCACCCAGCGAAUCGACGUGGUGUGCUUAUCAAAAUCUGUGUGUCUGUGGGCCAGAGCCAAAUCCAGACAGUUUUCGGCACACAGAGAGGCUGUGAGUUAGGACGGGGGUUUCUUGCCGUUGCCACCAUUCUCAUUGACACGUUAUGCUGCACACAGCAGAGCCCCAUCCUGAAUGCCCAGCGGUGCCCACAGCCAGGAGGAGCAUUCGAUGUGUGAUGACUCAUCUCGUGCAUCAGACGCUCUCUAAAGUUCCCACAGAUUAUACCAUGGCUUAGUGAGUGCGAUUCUAAGACAGUUCCAAAAGACUUUUCAAUCCGUGGGAGUUUCAAAGUGGAUUCUCAGACAAACAUGGGGAGGACUGAGGCAGGCUUGGACACGCACAGAAUCAGACAACGAUGGUCCGGAGUUCAAAUCCCUGCAACCACAUGGUGGCUCACAACCAACUGUAAUGAGAUCUGGCGCCCUCUUCUGGAGUGUCUGAAGACAGAUACAGUGUACUUACAUAUAGUAAAUAAAUAAAUCUUAAAAAAAAAAAAAA